rnacentral:rRNA from 1 species
AACGCUAGCUACAGGCUUAACACAUGCAAGUCGAGGGGCAGCAUUUUAGUUUGCUUGCAAACUAAAGAUGGCGACCGGCGCACGGGUGAGUAACACGUAUCCAACCUGCCGAUAACUCGGGGAUAGCCUUUCGAAAGAAAGAUUAAUAUCCGAUAGUAUAUUAAAACCGCAUGGUUUUACUAUUAAAGAAUUUCGGUUAUCGAUGGGGAUGCGUUCCAUUAGUUUGUUGGCGGGGUAACGGCCCACCAAGACUACGAUGGAUAGGGGUUCUGAGAGGAAGGUCCCCCACAUUGGAACUGAGACACGGUCCAAACUCCUACGGGAGGCAGCAGUGAGGAAUAUUGGUCAAUGGACGAGAGUCUGAACCAGCCAAGUAGCGUGAAGGAUGACUGCCCUAUGGGUUGUAAACUUCUUUUAUAUGGGAAUAAAGUAUUCCACGUGUGGGAUUUUGUAUGUACCAUGUGAAUAAGGAUCGGCUAACUCCGUGCCAGCAGCCGCGGUAAUACGGAGGAUCCGAGCGUUAUCCGGAUUUAUUGGGUUUAAAGGGAGCGUAGGUGGAUUGUUAAGUCAGUUGUGAAAGUUUGCGGCUCAACCGUAAAAUUGCAGUUGAAACUGGCAGUCUUGAGUACAGUAGAGGUGGGCGGAAUUCGUGGUGUAGCGGUGAAAUGCUUAGAUAUCACGAAGAACUCCGAUUG